GCGGGUGUGGUGGAAUUGGUAGACACAUCGGGUUUAAGCCCCGAUGGGCGUUUGCCCGUGCAAGUUCGAGUCUUGUCACCCGCACCA
rnacentral:tRNA from 1 species